rnacentral:rRNA from 1 species
CCCUUAGAUGUUCUGGGCCGCACGCGCGCUACACUGAAGGGAUCAGCGUGUUUUCCCUUCCCGAGAGGGUCGGGUAACCCGCUGAACCCCCUUCGUGGUAGGGAUCGGAGCUUGCAAUUGUUCUCCGUGAACCAGGAAUUCCCAGUAAGCGCAAGUCAUAAGCUUGCGUUGAUUACGUCCCUGCCCUUUGUACACACCGCCCGUCGCUACUACCGAUUGAACGUUUUAGUGAGGUAUUUGGACUGGGCCUUGGGAGGUUUCGGCCUCCCUUGUUGCUCGGAAAGACUCCCAAACUUGAGCGUUUAGAGGAAGUAAAAGUCGUAACA